rnacentral:lncRNA from 1 species
GCACUCAUAGAGGUACCCGCUGUCACCGCUAUUAUCUAAACUUUCAUCGAUGUUCUGAGGAGGUUUGCCGGUUCAAUGAUACUAUAUGCGAAUGUUGGCCGGUUCAGUGGUUCUGGUGAUAUAUAUCCAAUAUAUGCGUCAGGUCAUAUUGCAGUAUCCUAUAUCCCCUGUAUGCCUCUGGUGACACACGUCAUAUUGCUGUGUAGGGUGGAUCACAUGACAAUAUGCCACAACUGAUCAGCUUUCUUGGUGUUGCGUAAUAAAUUCAUUUAUCUAUAGAAACUAGUAUUAUAAACUUUGCAUUGUGGAGGAUAGAAUCUUGUGAUGGAGUCUUCUAGGUUUAGACUCUAUCAGUAGAGUCUGCACUGUGAGUACUCUUAUGUAAGCAUCAAGUUGGACACAGAUGCAUGAUGGGUCCAAAUAACAAGUGUUGUG